rnacentral:lncRNA from 1 species
UCUGUAGGUAUUAAUUGCAAGAACAACCUGUAAUACAUUUCAUGCAUGCUACUUUCUAUCUCAGAGUCUGCUAUCUGGGAAUGCAAGCUAUGACACUUGGUGCUAGGAAUGGCUGGAGAGACUUGAAGACGGGAAUUGGGAGCUGGACUAUUUGCCAUGCAGUGGUUACUGAGGAAUUCCACCAGUCACCAAUCAGCAGUGCUUAUCAAGACUCAGAAGUGGACUGGAAAAGUAUUGUUGAAGAAAAUGGUCUAGCAGGUGACAUGUUUCAGGUCUUUGAGAAAUAAGGGGAAAUAAGAUACUCUGAGGACAGUGAAAUGGUGUGGCUGUUGCUAAGCACAAUGGACAGUUAUGAACUAGAUAAUGAAAGGCUGCAAAAGUUUCAUUAGCAAUUAAAGACCAAGCGUGAAAGCUGGAGGGCUUCUUUGGUAGCUUAUAAAGAGGCUCUCAUCUUAUGCAGCCUGAGGGCUGAGAAAUUAUGAUUCAUGAUGUAAUUGUAAGAGUGGCAGAACUCCAGAGAAGCCUAAGAUCUCAAGUUAGGCAGGUCUGCAGUGCCAAGACCCUCACCUUGAUUGGGAAAGAAUUGGACCCUGAUACUUGAGAUAGGGCUAGAUUGUGGCAACGAAAAAAACAAAAACAACAAAAUUCAAUUAACAACAACAAUAACAAAAACCCUUGAAUUUCAACAUAUCUUUUUAUGCUCUGAACUUCCAGAAGGGGUUUGACUCCUUAUUAAGUAUGAAUGCUCUUCCUAAACUUGAAGAUUAUGCAGAGCUCUCAGAAUCUGUUCCUAUCUCUCCUGGUCACCAGGCCAAGAAGUAGGAUUAAAUAAUAACCUAAUUUGGCAGAGAACUGAUCUAGUACCCAUAAGAGAAUAGGUUCUGCACCCAAAGGGGCUGUAGGACCUAGCAAGAACAAGCCUGCAAGAAAAACAGGAGACUCUAAAUGGGAUUGAAUUUUGUGUAUCCUGCCUCAGGAUGGUAAAACAUAAAGUUGGAUGAAGGAGAAUUUAAUAAUUGGGAAGAAUUAUGGUACAGGAAUUAACACCUUGGCAAGGAUACCUGCAGAUGGCAUGAACUUGCUAUUAGAUGGCUCUCACAUUAAAUGAAUCAUGGACAAAGCUCACUCUAAGUGGAGAUGAAAUGCAUUAUUGUCAUAACUAUGGAAGAAGAGAAUAAAAGACAGUGGUAUAUCACACAAACUCAGAAAAUUCACCAUAUGAUGAUGUUCUGUAUGAUAUGCCAUUGAGCAAAGGAUUAAGGAAUGUGCUGAGAAGAGGGAACCAGUGUCAUUGAGAAGUUCAGUGGCACUUAACUUCUGUGGAUAAGAACUGGUCAGAGAAGAUGCCUUUGCAGAGCUGGACUCCCUGAUAACAAUGGGGAAGAUAAGAUCCCAGCAGGGAUAUGGUGGUGCCACUUAACCCUCACAGCCAGGUGCAUAGAAUUUAUCAUAAGGAGUGUCAAGGACCAAGGAGUAGCCAGGGAUCUUCUAUAUCUUAAGGUCAGUGUCAGGAAUAAAUGCACAGUAGCCUUUAUCUGCCUUUGGACAUUUUCCUGUUCUGGGCCCCAAUCAAAACUAGCAAUCUUCAAUGUACAUGAUAGAGUCUGAAGUAAUAUUCCUAGGUAUGAAAAAUGCAGACUUCAAUUCCUCAGUAGGCCCACCAGGUAGUAAGCCUUGUUUUUUGUCCUGAGAGGUGCACAAUAGAAUAAUUUGCCCUAUCCUGCAGAUAUGUUCCCUUAUACCAUCAUUUUUUUUACUAAUAUGAGUUCCCUAAAUAUUUUAUUUUUUCCUAUCCUUUGAAGUGCAUGGGGCUCCCAAUGAACUAGCAUUUCUUUCAUCUGAUGCAAAUAGUCUAAUUCAGUGGUGGGAAAAUACUUCAUAUUCAGAUUAUGCCAAGUGACAAGGAAUAUUCAUAGCACAGACUCCCAUGAUUCUGGAGCAAGACUAUGUGAUUGCUAGCAAAUACUUGUAUGUAUUUCAAAUAACAGCUUCUGGCAUUCGAAGCUGAGCCGUGGUAGCAAUGGAAUGACUGAUCAUGAGACACCAAAUGAAUACAGAGUCAGAACUUCAUCAAGAGCGGGGUUCUGUCAGACCCACCAAGUCAUAAAUUUGGGCAGCAACCAUCCAUUGCAAGAUGGAAACACAUGCCACCAUGUGAGGGAUGGAGCAUAAGCAGGGGCAGAGGACAUAAGCAGAUGAAUAAGCAAGUCCCUAUGUCACUCCUAUAAGCAUUUGGGGAUAGCUAACAGUCAGCUGAUGAAUGAGGUCAAAGUCUGAUUCAAAGAUGGAAUGGCUUAAUAUGUGGGUUCAAAUCAUAAUCCUAGCAGGGACUGAACAUCUGGGGGAAGUAUGGCUUCUGUUACAUAAUGGAGACAGGGAAAGCAAUGCCACCCAACUAUUCUUCCUGAUACUCCUUUGGCCAUUCUUGAUGAUAAAUGGGCAAAUGCAGUAGCCACUGCCUGAGAAGGACAGGCUGACUGGGGACUGAGGUCACUCAGGGAUGAAGAACUGGGUAAUGCCAACUUUGGGCCACCAGAGCUAGCAUAGGUGCUCGCCACGAGGGAGGACAAUUUCCAGUGGUUGAAGAGGAAUGGCAUGAUGGAAAUCAGUUGUGACCCUGAAACCAGCUGUGAUGGGCAGAGGUACAGCUUUUCCUACUAACACCUCUAUUCUAAGUUCCCCAGGGAGACUCUCAACCCUUCCUCUACUCUCUUUCCCUGUGGAAUCCUAGUGUAGAUGCUUCUAGAACUUAAAGUAGUGGGUCCCGUCAGUAGAAAGGAGAAACUGUAGAUGCUGUGACAUAAUGCUUG